UACGUAGGGUGCAAGCGUUGUCCGGAUUUAUUGGGCGUAAAGAGCUCGUAGGCGGCUCGUCGCGUCAGCUGUGAAAACCCGCGGCUUAACCGUGGGCCUGCAGCUGAUACGGGCGGGCUAGAGUUCGGUAGGGGAGACUGGAAUUCCUGGUGUAGCGGUGAAAUGCGCAGAUAUCAGGAGGAACACCGGUGGCGAAGGCGGGUCUCUGGGCCGAUACUGACGCUGAGGAGCGAAAGCGUGGGGAGCGAAC
rnacentral:rRNA from 1 species